CACACCCUAAAACGAGCAAUUUUAGGUCAAUAAUUAUUAUUCGUCAACUUGACAAAUCACAUCCACGUGGAGGAAUUUAAUAAGAUGUCAUUUUCUUAAAUGUAAUUUAUCUUUUGUAUUUAUAUUUUGUUUAUUUUAUUAAUUAGUGAUUUACAAAUUACAGCCAUUGAAUAUUGAUUACAUUUUUACUCUAAAACUAGGAAGCGAACUUAGCUAGUGGCCUAGGGCACAAAGCCAUCAACCGACCAAAAUUUAGGGCUUUUAUUAGGGUUCUUCGUCAAAUAGUUCAUUCACAAAGACGAGAAGAAAAUCAACACUAAUCAUCAUCAAAGAUGUCGAAGAAGAACAAUCUUGCUACUCGGAGAAGACAACACGAAUUUGACCUUAAAAGAGAAAAAGAUGAGAGAGACAAAAAGAUAAAGAAGCUUCAGGCAAAUAAGGAUAAAAUGAAGGUUGAUAAGAAGAAAAAGAAGAAGAACAAGGGUGAAUUUAAACUGAAGAAGAAAUUGAAAACAAAGCUUACAGCUUUGACCAGGGCUAAAGUUCUACAAGCUAUGGAAAUUGAAAAUUGAGGUUCAGCAAAGCAUUAUUUUACAAAAUGUUGUGAUUUUUUUCCCACCAAUCUAGGCAUGGUUGUUUAGGAAUUGAGGUGCAUGUUUUCAUUUCCCUUUUGGUAAUCUGUAAGAUGAAGUUACUAUUACUUUAGAUUCUUGAAGUGAUUGAAAAUGAACUAAACUGCUUAGAUUUAUUGAACUAAACUGCUUAGAAUUAUUGAAUUCUUAUUAUUUUACAUGAUCUAAAGUAAUAGGAAUUUAUAGCUCGCUGUUGCGAGGAGUAGGACAUUAGUUUUGUAAAACUUUGUUUGGCGUGUAUGGUGGAUACAAUUGAUUUUCCAAUAUUGUUCCGUCCGAUAGGCUGAAUCUUCACUCUACCAAAAAGUUGUAGUUGUAAAACACUGAAAGUUAAUUCUGAGGAGGCAACCAAAAGUCUUUUAUUCUCUCCAAGGAACAUUUAUCAACCCUUUAGGCCCCUCUCAGUUGAUACAACUGCCAUUUGUGGGUUUGGAGGACACUGGUAGAUCCCAUGUAAUAGUUUCUUCCAAUUCCAAUCAUCUUUCCAUGAUCCUUCAAUAGUUUCUCUGGAUAGUAGAAAGUCAGUUGGUUUGAUUCUUAUCUGAUGCCUUACUUAGUGUUGAAUGAUUCUGUGUGAUCUAGUGCUUUCCCAAAUGUUUCAAUUGUAGCAAAUAAGCUAAAAAUGCUUUUUGGUGGUAAUAUUGUGGGGUUGCUCGUAGUAGUGGAACUUCGAAUUGUCUUUGAUUAAUAAAGAUUUUUUUUCAUGAGUUGGUUUAUGUUGGACUAUGAAUAUCAGGCCAUGUGGAUUGAGAUAUUUGAAGUUUUCACGGCCUGUGAUAUCUUAAAUUUAUGAGUUUCUCAUUGAUUGGGCUCUAGCUUAGAAAGCAGAGGUGGAUCUUUGAAUUAUCCCAAAGGGAUUGCUCUUCCUUGAAAUUUUUGGGUCUUGAUGUAAAACCUAAAUGUUUUCUAAUAUUUACAAUAGAAAAAUGUGGAUUACUAGUUAAGAAUAUAGUUUUUAAAAUAAAGGUUUGGGUUUCAAACCUUGGCCCACUCUCAGAAAGGGAAAUUUUUUAAAAGUAAACCUUCCCCAAAUUAUACUUUAUAGCGUGCACCAAGAAGUUUGAAUAAAUCGAGUUGGUAUAUGGAGAUCGCUGUGCAUAUUGGAGAUAUUAAGUUCUUAGCUCCUGUUUAGAAAAUGGUCUUUUAGUUACUUAUAGGUGUCUAUACAACUACUCUAUGAUUGUAUCUCGAUUGGCCGGUAUUUGUACUGCAUAUUGGUGUUUAAGGUUAUAAUUUGUAACAUGUAAAUCAUCGAUGUUUCAUUUUCAGUUAAUCGCAGUGAGAGUUUGGUUUAUAGGCGGUGUAAAAUGUAGAUUAUUCGAGGUAGUAUUCCAACUUCAUUGCUGGUGGAAUUUUAUAAAUCAAAGAUCAGCCCUUGGGAUUAUUUAAUUACUUUGAGUCAUUUUUACCAAUUAUGGUUCCUUAGUACAUGUUCUAGUAUGUACAAAACAAAUCCAUGUAUGCUUGAAUGGGAUUCCUUAAGCCAAAAGUUGUUUUAAUGAAUAUGGAAUUGGAGACCAUAUUAUGCUCUUCCAGAUGUUCUCUGAUAAAAAAAGUGAUGAAUGUCUUUUAUUUGUGUGUUGAGAUGAAUGUCUUUUAUUUGUGUGU